rnacentral:rRNA from 1 species
AACGCGAAGAACCUUACCCAGGCUUGACAUGCAGUGGACGAUACCAGAGAUGGUAUUUCUCUUCGGAGCCGCUGCACAGGUGCUGCAUGGCUGUCGUCAGCUCGUGCCGUGAGGUGUUGGGUUAAGUCCCGCAACGAGCGCAACCCUUAUCAUUAGUUGCCAACAUAUUAGGUGGGAACUCUAAUGAGACUGCCUGGGUUAACCAGGAGGAAGGUGAGGAUGACGUCAAGUCCGCAUGGCCCUUAUGUCUGGGGCUACACACGUGCUACAAUGGUCGGCACAGAAGGCAGCUAAGCCGCGAGGCAGUGCAAAUCCCAAAAGCCGAUCUCAGUUCAGAUUGUAGUCUGCAACUCGACUACAUGAAGACGGAAUUGCUAGUAAUGGCGUGUCAGCAACAACGCCGUGAAUACGUUCCCGGGCCUUGUA